AGUGAACGCUGGCGGUAGGCCUAACACAUGCAAGUCGAACGGCAGCACAGAGGAGCUUGCUCCUUGGGUGGCGAGUGGCGGACGGGUGAGGAAUACAUCGGAAUCUACUUUUUCGUGGGGGAUAACGUAGGGAAACUUACGCUAAUACCGCAUACGACCUCCGGGUGAAAGCAGGGGACCUUCGGGCCUUGCGCGAUUGAAUGAGCCGAUGUCGGAUUAGCUAGUUGGCGGGGUAAAAGCCCACCAAGGCGACGAUCCGUAGCUGGUCUGAGAGGAUGAUCAGCCACACUGGAACUGAGACACGGUCCAGACUACUACGGGAGGCAGCAGUGGGGAAUUUUGCACAAUGGGCGAAAGCCUGAUGCAGCGACGCCGCGUGGGUGAUGAAGGUCUUCGGAUUGUAAAGCCCUGUCGGGGGGGAUGAAACCUUCCAUGGCUAAUAUCCAUGGAACGUGACCGUACCCCCAAAGGAAGCACCGGCUAACUCCGUGCCAGCCGCCGCAGUAA
rnacentral:rRNA from 1 species